rnacentral:rRNA from 1 species
GACGAACGCUGGCGGCGUGCUUAACACAUGCAAGUCGAACGCUGAAGCUCAGCUUUUGUUGGGUGGAUGAGUGGCGAACGGGUGAGUAACACGUGAGUAACCUGCCUCCUUCUUUGGGAUAACGCCCGGAAACGGGUGCUAAUACUGGAUAUUCACUGGUCUUCGCAUGGGGGUUGGUGGAAAGGGUUUUUCUGGUGGGGGAUGGGCUCGCGGCCUAUCAGCUUGUUGGUGGGGUGAUGGCCUACCAAGGCUUUGACGGGUAGCCGGCCUGAGAGGGUGACCGGUCACAUUGGGACUGAGAUACGGCCCAGACUCCUACGGGAGGCAGCAGUGGGGAAUAUUGCACAAUGGGCGCAAGCCUGAUGCAGCGUCGCCGCGUAAGGGAUGGAGGCCGUCGGGUUGUGAACCUCUUUCGCUCAUGGUCAAGCCGCAACAAUGGUUGUGGUGAGGGUAGUGGGUAAAGAAGCGCCGGCUAACUACGUG